AGCCAACCGCAGCCAACCGCAGCCAGCCGCCGAUCCUUUCCUUCCAUUUUCUUCUUCCGUCCGCAACCCCGCCGCGAAGCAAGACCGCGCCGCUGCCAGUCCAGAUCUGCAGCGCCGUUGCUCUUCCGCCGCUGCCCAACCGUCUCAGCCGGUUCUGUCUCUGUCGAAGCCACGGUUCUGCAACCGUCUCCGCCGUCUCUAUCUCCGUCCGCGAGGCAAGUCGCACGCCUCAGUCACGAACAGCCUCGCCGAUGCAGGUCACGCCGCAUCGCACGAGUUCGGCUACGUUGCCGGGCUACUCCCGUCCGCGCGUAACUGCUGUUGAACGUCCAAAACCCUUCUGCCUUCGUUUGCAAAACGUCGCGGCGUGAAUUCUGCCUUCUAAUCGUGGAUUUGACCUCCAAGUUGUGAUACUGAAGAGGUCGUGCUUAGAUAUCUAAGUUCCAACGUGAGCUUCAUUGGAAUUGUUGCUUCAUUCUACUUGGAAUUUGACUUAUUGAAUUUAGCCCGAUUGAAAAACUUACAUAACCUUGAGGCAAAGGAAAUAAAGGUGGCAAACCGGCGAGGGGCAGGAAGGAAGCGUGAUUGCCAUAGGGAAU